UACGAAGGGGGCUAGCGUUGCUCGGAAUUACUGGGCGUAAAGCGCACGUAGGCGGUCUUUUAAGUCGGGGGUGAAAUCCUGGAGCUCAACUCCAGAACUGCCUUCGAUACUGGAAGACUCGUAGUCCGGGAGAGGUGAGUGGAAUUCCUGGUGUAGCGGUGAAAUGCGUAGAUAUCAGGAGGAACACCUGUGGCGAAAGCGGCUCACUGGACCAUAACUGACGCUGAUGCACGAAAGCUAGGGGAGCAAACAGG
rnacentral:rRNA from 1 species